rnacentral:snoRNA from 1 species
CAAUCAAGAAUGUGGGUCUUGAGCCAAAGAUUAUGAGUAAUCUAAUUCUGUGUACCUGAG